CGGCUCAGUAACACGUGGACAACCUACCCUAUGGAGGGGGAUAACCCCGGGAAACUGGGGAUAAUACCCCAUAGACUAUAGAUGCUGGAAUGCUUUGUAGUUGAAAGGUCCGCCGCCAUAGGAUGGGUCUGCGGCCGAUUAGGUUGUUGUUGGGGUAACGGCCCAACAAGCCUGUAAUCGGUACGGGUUGUGGGAGCAAGAGCCCGGAGAUGGAUUCUGAGACACGAAUCCAGGCCCUACGGGGCGCAGCAGGCGCGAAAACUUUACAAUGCGGGAAACCGUGAUAAGGGAACUCCGAGUGCCCGUAAAAUCGGGCUGUCCAUCUGUUUAAAUAACAGGUGAAGAAAGGGCCGGGCAAGACCGGUGCCAGCCGCCGCGGUAAUACCGGCGGCUCGAGUGGUGGCCACUAUUACUGGGCUUAAAGCGUUCGUAGCUGGUCUGUUAAGUCUCUGGGGAAAUCUACUGGCUUAACCAAUAGGCGUCUCAGGGAUACUGGCGGACUAGGGACCGGGAGAGGUGAGAGGUACUCCAGGGGUAGGAGUGAAAUCCUGUAAUCCUUGGGGGACCACCUGUGGCGAAGGCGUCUCACCAGAACGGCUCCGACAGUGAGGGACGAAAGCUGGGGGAGCAAACCGGAUUAGAUACCCGGGUAGUCCCAGCCGUAAACGAUGCG
rnacentral:rRNA from 1 species